CAGAUACAUCUUAAUCAGGAGGACACUGCCAGGAUGACUCUCUGCUUCCCCGACCUCAGGGUCAUUACUUCUGAUCAACCAGCAUUAUCUCCUCCCAAGACCUGCAGGAUUCUGAAGAAUUCCAGCCUCCCUACUGUUGCCUCUUACAUAGAUUCAUGUUGAAUAUGUAUUUCCCAGCAUCUAGAGAUGCUGAUUCAGUGUACUUGGUGACAGGUGUCUCAAUGACAAAGACAGGAGGCCUUUAAAAUCUUCGGUUGGGGAGUGUCAGGAUGGGUAUGACACAGGCCCACGCUGGCAAUCUAAAAUGAAGGCUGUUGGCAUAAUUGCUUUUCAUUCAAAAGUUAAGAAAUGCAGCUGCGUCCUCUUCACCUCCAGUUCUUGGAAUCUCUAUGCAUGGAAUGGAGAAUUGCCUCCUUCAUUUCUGAAUUUCCGUUCCCUCCUUCUUUAAACUAACUAAAGAUCAAUGAACUGAGUGCUAUUCUGGUUCUCACUAGACUUACC